GUCCGGGCUCCACAGGGCAGGGUGGUGGCUAACGGCCACCCGGGGUGACUCGCGGGACAGUGCCACAGAAAACAGACCGCCCGGGACCUCGGUCCCGGGUAAGGGUGAAACGGUGGUGUAAGAGACCACCAGCGCCUGAGGUGACUCAGGCGGCUAGGUAAACCCCACCCGGAGCAAGGUCAAGAGGGAGCGCCUCGGUGCUCCUGCGCGAACGUUCGAGGGCGGCCCGCCCGAGUUCGCGGGUAGACCGCACGAGGCCGGCAGCAAUGCCGGCCCUAGAUGGAU
rnacentral:RNase_P_RNA from 1 species